rnacentral:antisense_RNA from 1 species
GUGGAACUUUUUGCAAAACUGAUAAAAGCAACCAGUCAACAAGAAUGUAGUAAACCUCCUUCAGCAUUGACUACUUAGUCAAAGGCUGGGGAGGUUUGGGGCAUGUCUGUGAAACUCACCCAUGCCAUCUGGAAAGGAAAAAGUCAAGUUGCAUUUCUGCAAUACAUUCUCUCCCUUCCCUGAGGUGCUCCUGGAAUAUAAAGAAAGCAAGGAAAUAUUUACUGGGCCUUCAGCUUUCUGUACUACUUCGGAACAGCACUAGCAUCUAUCUCAGGGUUUAAAAUAUGGAAGUUCUUGCCUUCCUUGAAUAUUUUCUCCCAGAAAUAACAUAUUGGCUCUCUUCCCUGUGACAUGCCUCAUCUGACAUUGGCUGGCUUUCAUACGAAACCUUUGUUUUAGCCUACUAUCAAUUCAACUUUUACAUUGACAAAACGUAAUUUUUGGUUGUCAAUGUAAAAGUUGACAUUUUUACAUUCAACUUUAAUUUAAAUGCUGAAUUUAAAUUUAAAUGCUGAAAAUUUAUUUAAGCACUUAAAAUGAUAUUAGAAGAGGUAUUUUAUGUUUUUAAACAGAGAUAUAUUUCAUUUUUAUAUGCAGUCAACAGAUCACAUGUGUAUGUCUCUUAUGUGUUCCUGUGUGGGAAUAGCUUGGAUUACUACAUAAGUUCUCUGAGAAUAUUAAGUUCAUUUAGGGGAACAGGACAUAUCUAUAUGAAAAAC